AUUUCAUCAAGAGUGGUGGAGGGACAGGCCCGACGAAGCCCGGCAACCUGCAUGGAAACAUGUGAGGUGCCAAUUCCUGCAGAAUCCAUAGAUUCUGAGAGAUGAGCU
rnacentral:ncRNA from 1 species